rnacentral:rRNA from 1 species
CCUACGGGUGGCAGCAGUGGGGAAUAUUGGGCAAUGGGCGAAAGCCUGACCCAGCAACGCCGCGUGAAGGAAGAAGGCUUUCGGGUUGUAAACUUCUUUUGACAGGGAAGAGCAGAAGACGGUAACUGUCGAAUAAGCCACGGCUAACUAAGUGCCAGCAGCCGCGGUAAAACGUAGGUGGCAAGCGGUGUCCGGAAUUACCGGGGGGAAAGGGCGGGUAGCCGGGCUGACAAGUCAGAUGUGAAGUCCGGGGGCCCAACCCCCGAACUGCAUUUGAAACUGUUGGUCUUGAGUGUCGGAGAGGCAGGCGGAAUUCCGGGUGUAGCGGUGAAAUGCGUAGAUAGUAGGAGGAACACCAGUGGCGAAGGCGGCCUGCUGGACGACAACUGACGGUGAGGCGCGAAAGCGUGGGGAGCAAACAGGAUUAGAUACCCGAGUAGUC